rnacentral:rRNA from 1 species
GAUGAACGCUGGCGGUAUGCUUAACACAUGCAAGUCGAACGGUCACUUCGGUGAUAGUGGCGGACGGGUGAGUAACGCGUGAGAAUCUGUCUUCAGGUCGGGGACAACAGUUAGAAAUGACUGCUAAUACCGGAUGUGCCCUAUGGUGAAAGAUUUAUUGCCUGAAAAAGAGCUCGCGUCAGAUUAGCUAGUAGGUGGUGUAAGAGACUACCUAGGCGACGAUCUGUAGCUGGUCUGAGAGGACGAUCAGCCACACUGGAACUGAGACACGGUCCAGACUCCUACGGGUGGCAGCAGUGGGAAUUUUCCGCAAUGGGCGAAAGCCUGACGGAGCAAUCUCGCGUGAGGGAUGACGGCCUAUGGGGUUGUAAAACCCUCUUUUUUUCAGGGUAGGAAUAAAUGACGUGUACCUGAAGAAUAAGCAUCGGCUAACUCCGUGCCAGCAGCCGCGGUAAU